UGCAGUCGAACGCUUUUUCUUUCACCGGAGCUUGCUCCACCGAAAGAAAAAGAGUGGCGAACGGGUGAGUAACACGUGGGUAACCUGCCCAUCAGAAGGGGAUAACACUUGGAAACAGGUGCUAAUACCGUAUAACACUAUUUUCCGCAUGGAAGAAAGUUGAAAGGCGCUUUUGCGUCACUGAUGGAUGGACCCGCGGUGCAUUAGCUAGUUGGUGAGGUAACGGCUCACCAAGGCAACGAUGCAUAGCCGACCUGAGAGGGUGAUCGGCCACACUGGGACUGAGACACGGCCCAGACUCCUACGGGAGGCAGCAGUAGGGAAUCUUCGGCAAUGGACGAAAGUCUGACCGAGCAACGCCGCGUGAGUGAAGAAGGUUUUCGGAUCGUAAAACUCUGUUGUUAGAGAAGAACAAGGAUGAGAGUAAAAUGUUCAUCCCUUGACGGUAUCUAACCAGAAAGCCACGGCUAACUACGUGCCA
rnacentral:rRNA from 1 species